UUCCCAAAUUAUUGUUAAGUGAAAAUAAGGUAGUGUUUAUCCAAGCCACCAGGAAAUGGGCUUAGGAGCGGCCAUUUUUUAAAGACCUCGUAACAGAGCACUGGUUUUAUACAAUUUUGUAUGUAUUGUUAGAUGCACCUAAAAUUUAACGGAUCUAAAAAAUAUACCGAGACCUUGUCCAUAAAUAUUUAUAUGUACAAGUUACAUAGAAUAUAUAUGGGGUAGCGGAACAUUGGGCAUAUUUCAGAUUUUUUCUUUUUAAGACUUAAGAUUAGAUUACCCAAGUGAUAAUGCUGACAUGAGUAACGAUAAAGGGUUUAUACCCUCGCCUAAAGCUUAUGGAAUUUACUUAAAGUAACGGCCUCUAAGUUUAAAUUUGCUUUACUU
rnacentral:rRNA from 1 species